rnacentral:misc_RNA from 1 species
UGGGAGUGGGGACAGAAAUGAAAUUUACACAAAAUUUAUUUCUGUUCCCACUCCCAUCAAUUCUAUU